rnacentral:lncRNA from 1 species
ACCUCCAAAGACCUAUUUCCUAGCAAAAGAAGUAUAACUGGAGGGGAAAUUUUUUAAUGAAGUUUCUAGUAAUUGUUCCAAGGGCAGAAAGUAAAUAGCAAAUAUUUAUUUAAGAAAAUUGAUUUGAACUCAGUAAGAACAGGGAGAGUCAUGGUAUCUGAACAUGUCUUACUUCCCCCUUGCUCCUUCCCCUCUUAGCUCACCACAGUAGAAAUUCCUUUUAAAGCAGCUGCAGCCAAGAACAUAGGGUUCCUUCUCCCACCAACUCUCAGUCAAGGCUAUGGUAUUGUUGGGAAGGAAGACAUUUUCCUCUACCCUCCUAGAUUCUUCCAGCUGGUCUAAGAAUUAAUUUGACCUAAGACAAACCAACAGGAGAAGAAACAAACAAAAAUUUAGUAACAUGUAUGUGUGAGACACCCAGAAAAACUCAGUAAUUCACUAAAAUGGCCAAAACUCUCACCAUAAAUACCAUCCUCAGCUAAAGACAAAAAAGGACAUUGGGGAUAACAGGUUCUGAAUUUGAAGGGGAGGAAGGCAAUGCACACAGAGAUGGAAAAGCAAAAGUUUAGUAAACAAACUUUAGUAAACAUACUCGCAGAGACAGAGUAGACUCUGAUAUCCAGGCCCUGCUGAGUUUCCCCAACCAUACCUAGACAUAUUUUUGCAAGUUUCUCUGGUGAUAGCUCUACUGGGGGAACAGGCCCUUGAUCUGAAUUAGUUUAGGCAGCUAAGGUGGAGGUCAAAGUUUUUUUCCCUGAGUCUUUUGGGUCUUGAUUGUUUUCCACUCAAAAUAAACCACAUGCCAAAGAGACGUUUUGGAGUGGCAAAACUUGCUCCCCUACAAUAUCUUCCUGGGAAAACCAGGCUUCCAGGAUUUCUCAUCUCUGCCAGCUAUGAGUUGCAGAAACUAAAUCUCAGGUGAAUGUGGCCAACAUGUUAGAGGCUCUCUUUGUGCACAAGUCCUGACCCAUAAGGUCAACCUCAGGUAUGAAAAAAUCAGUAUCAGGUAUGAAAAGCUGAGAAAACUGGGCUUCAGUCUACCUCAGUUCAUAUACAACAUGAAGGUUCCAUGACAGGAGACAAGCUGAGAAGACCAGAGGCUAACAUCCUACACAGGACCUUGCUCUUAUGCAGAGGUGUCACUCAAAGAAAAGUAGGCCACUGUCCCAACCCCAGACCCAGAGACAAGGGUCAGAGAUUUGGCCAGAGGAGAGGCAGGCCUUAAGAACAGGGAUCUAUGAAGUUCACCCCAGUGUAAGUGACUCUAUUUGAAACAUAGGGUGGUGAAGGUCAAAGAUAAUGGUGCUCUAAAAAACAAUGAAGGUUUUGGUGGUAAGCAAUCAAGGUAGGGUCGCAAGAGCAAGAAGUUAAGCCAGAGGAAACCAAGAAGGUAGACAACUAAUAACUUUUCACAGGAUAAACAUGAACCUCAAACACUGGCCUCCAAAACUACCCCUAUAAAGGGUCCUGAAUUUAAUUAGACCAGACAAUGGAUCAGUUUAUACUGCAGGACAUUGUCAAAAACAAUAGAGCAAUUAGUGGAGUCUAACAGCUAGGUUUAAUCUGGGAAGGAGACAAAGCCCUGCUAAAAACACUGCCAUCCCAGAGUGAAUGUUUGCAUGCAGAAGACUGAGCCUCUAAGCAAUAACAUUAGAGGUUUCACACUGCAGGUGAAGUAGAUGUCACUAAAAUAGUCCAGAUAGUCACUAAACAAAUAAACAACAAGCCCCUGGGGAAGGGGGAGGGGAAUCAAUGUACAGAGAUGCUCCAACAUAUUAUCCGAAGUGUCCAAUUCUCAACAAAUUACAACAUAUGCAAAUAAACAGCAAUGUGUGACUCAGAAAAGCACCACAGCAAUCUUGAAAAAGAACCAAGUGGGUGGACUCACACUUUCUAUUUUCAAAACUUACUACCAAGACUGUGUGGUACUAGCUUAAGAAUAGCCAUAUAGGUAUAUGGAAUAUAACUGAGAAACCAGAAAUUAAAGCCUUCAUGUUUUGGGUCAGUUGAUUUCAGGAAGGGUGCUAAGGCCAUUCAAUGGGUAAAUCACAGUCUUUUCAACAAAUGGUUCUGUGACAAUUCAAUAUCUACAUGCAAAAGACUGAACAUCGUUCUCUACCUCACUUGAUAAAAAUUAACUCAAAAUGGAUCAGGAACCUAAAUGUAGGUGUUUAACGUUGUAAAAUUCAUAAAAGAAAACAUAAGAAUAAAAUUUCAUGACUUUGAAUCCAGCAAUGACAUGAUAUUCUUAAAUAUAACAUGAAAAAGAAGUUACAAGAGGAAAAAAAUAGGUAAAUAGGAAUUUAUGAAAAUUUUUAAAAUUUGUGCUUCAAAGCAUUCCAUCAAGAAAUUGCAGAGACAACCCACUGGAGGGGAGAAAGUAUUUGCUCUACCAAAACUUGGGGGGGGGGGGAAGGCAAUUUAUAAAGUAAUUUUUUUAAAGGUGAAAAUUAUGAAAAGACUUUGAAAGAUAAUUUUUUUCCGCAGAAGCACAAUGUAGGUUAAUUUGCAACCUAUAUAUAAAAAUGGCAAGAUUUCUAUUAUGUUUCAGUAGAGAGAACCUAGAAAAAGCAGGAAAAAAAGAGGGGAGGAGGAGAUUGCAGAAGGCUUUGAUGAAAAUGAGCUGCCUUAAAAUAAAAACCUUGAAACUUUAACCAAUCUUAUUGUGACAUUUUAAUCUCGAGGAAAAUUUUUUUUUUCCCAGCCACAGGAACCCAAGAUACGUAUCAGAGUGAUAAAAACAUUGGCUUUAGUAUUCUCAACAUGCCAAGAAAAUUGGUUGGAAGCAUGUCAAAGUUAUGGACACUGGAGAAUAUCUAAUGAGAGAAUAAAGCAAAAUCUUCUCUGAUUGUUUUUUAAAAAUAAAAAGCACUUUAUAUCUUUUCAGUUUAAAAUAUUCUGUCUCUAAAGUGCUGAUAUGAGUAUAAUCUCAUGAAGUAGUCAAAACUGAAAAAUUAGGACCUGUGAAAAGACUUUAAAAUGCAAUUUGGAUAUAUAAUGGGGUAUCAAUAACACCAUGUAGGAAGACUGCUAAACCACAGAUAUUAUGCUAUACAUACACACAUAUUUGAUCAAUGCACCAAGGAGAAAAUUCUGGCAAAGUAACAUGUGUUCAAAUUCCCUGCUUACAAUUCUACUGAAGCGUAAGAUUGAUUUGGUAUAAAUCAUAGGUUAUCACGCCAGUAUCUAACCUUUUUUAUUUUUAUAUUUUCUAAACAUUUUAAAUUGGCAGUCAUGAUUUAUAGAAAGAAGCUACAGAAUUAGCUCAUUUUUCUACCUGUAAUGUAUCUACUUUGUGGAAUUUCCAGUGAUUAUUAUUUUUUGUUCUUUUAGUAUAUCGAAUCAUAAAUUAUAAUACAAUAACUAAUUUAAAGGCAUUUAAUAUAGGAAAAUCAUUCCAAAUCGAAAGGACAGUAGAUUGAGUACUGUAAAGGAAAUAAAAAGAGUAAGAAACUAAAGCAUUGUUUGAAUAUGCAAAACUAAGGGUUUAACACCUACAAAUCCAAUUAUACAAUCUGGUUCUAUAAUAUAUUCCAGAAAUGACAUAAAUACAUGGAAUGUCAUAUGGUCCUCUAUAAACUCUAGUUUCAGAUGAUGGACCAGGAAGUGACCAAUUUACAUACAGUAAAAUGGAAAUGAGACCUACUUGAAUUGUUUUUCUCUAUUAAUGCAUAUUUACAUGUGUUGAAGCUUCCUAAUUCAUUAUAUUUUUGUGAUACUAAAAAUGAAAAUUGUAUUCAAUAACAUUAUUAUAUGUUUAUGCCUUUCAAAUCAUUAAAAAGCAUACACAGUUCUGUGCUCUGUUUCCAAUGUCAACUCACCAGAGAAGUUAUUCUAUCAUAUAUUUUCAUGUUUGAGUUUUUUUCAUUUUAUCCAUUGUCCUCAAUGAACAGAUAGCUUCCUCCCCUUCUUCCUAUAUCCAAAGAUUGGUGCCUGCAGGGCACUGAGAUCUGGUUUCACUCCAUUGGUCCAGGAAAAUUUUGGAAACUGUCCAGCCUCAAAGUUCUUCAUAUGUUGGCCACACAUAAUUUUUUUACAUCAGAGUUUAACGUCUUUCCUACCCAUCUGCUUCUCUUCCACACAGCUAUUAUUCCCAAGAAUACCUCUUGUAUAAAAAUUUAUGCCUCAGAGUCUUAGAUUGGAAUAAUCAAUCUAAAGCAAUAGUAAAACUGCAUGAUUAGGAUGAAUCUUUUUGAGUGUGUUAUUAAAAUAUGUCAAGCAAUUGUGGCUAGGAAGAGUAUGAAAAUACUAAAUAACAAUAGGCUUUUUAGAAAUAUGAAGGAUAUGUCUUUCAUCACAACAACAAAAAAACGAAGUCUUAAAGAUAUAAAUUUGUGCAAUAACAGAAGUAUUUCUGUUAUUCAAUAGACAAUAUUCAACCUGCUUAAUCAGAAUGGAUUAAAAAAUUGGAAUAUCCCUAUUUUGGACUCAUAAUGAAAAAAAUGAAACUAGCAAUGAUUAUCAGUGGCUGCCAGCAUUAUGGAAAGAGACAGCUAGACAUAUGUACAUCCUGAUAAACACAUACACCACCAUAUUUGAAGUAUUUACUAAAAAAUAAAUAUAUAAACCUGAAUGGUACAGUCACUAGAUCUAACCACUAAUUACAAAAUCUAUAAGAAUACAUUAAUAGACACCAGAUGAUGUGAUCCACAAAGUUCAAACAACAGGAACUAUGAGACAAACAAAAAUGUCUAUUAAAUAAAUUAUAAAGCAAGGCAGGAAGAGAGUAAUGUGUGUAUGAUCAUGGGGAUUUGAACACUGAUGAUGUUAAAUAAUUAUUAACUACAUUUUCUAUAUAAUAAUAUAAUUACUUCAAAUUAAUUAUAUAUACAUCAUGAGAAAUGCAUGCUAAAAUAUUUACAUACAAAGGUAUAUGAUUUAACUCAAAGAAAACCAAUAAAAUGUGAAGAAUGGGUUGGCAUUUUGAUGAAAGAAGACUGGAGAUCAAAGCUGGAUGAAAGGUAGAUAGAGGUUCAUACCACUAUUCUCUCUACUUUAUUAUAAAUUUGAAUUUUUUCAUGUUUAAAAGUAAAAAGAAUUAACUCAUAAGAAAAUGAAAUGAUAAGCAACCCACAUGGAGAAAACAGCUGCCAUUCUAUAACUAACAAGAUAUGUAAUGAUUAGGUAUCUCAUUAAGAAUAUCCUUGUCAUUGGGGUCAUUUCUUCAAGUACAACCUCUAACUGCCUGUGCUUUAAAUGGAAUAAAACUGAUUUCUCAACAUUAAUAUUAUACUCAACAUUUUCAUAAAUUCUCUUAUUCUCUUAGAUAUUUCAAAUAAACAUAAUUUUUAUACUCCUCAUAAAAGAAAUAUAUCUACUUUUUUGCAUCAAGUGAAAUUGUGAUUUUUGGAUUGGGCCACAUGUAUGUUUUAUGAUAAUAAGUUAUCUGUUCAUUCUAAUUUCACUGAAUGUAGUCAAAUAUAUUAUUAGCACCUAUGGAGAUGAUUUAUGAUUUCCCAUCACUGGUACAUCGUUUCAUUACAGUGUAAACUUGACUUGUUCAAAGUUUAUUAUUCUUUCAUGUGCUGCUAUUUUUCCCCAUUUUUUUAGCAAUAUUAAAAAAAAUUGGCUUGGUUUCUCAUUUCUUAUUUGGUGCUAUCAUUUAUAGGCUUUGGUAUUCAUCCAAAGAAUUUGGAAUUUGGAAUUGUUUCUUUUUAAUAUUCUUUCCUUCAUGUUGUUGUUUGUUUUUGAGUGAUCCUUUUAAAAUGUCUUGAGCUGAUGUUAUUUCAAACAUAGCUUUUCACCUUUUUCUCAUUUUUUAUAUGCAAAAUGUUCUAUUUGGAUUUUGUAUCUCUUUUGGCAUGAACAUUUUACAUUUUCCUAAAAAUUCAUUCCAGCCAGGUUUUCAAAUUAAUCUGCAUAAUUCCUAUUGAAGUGAGCUUAUUAUUUAUAGAGAUAAGCAUUUGAGUCUACAAAUUCUCAUUCAAGCAUUACUUUAAGUAUUUCCCAUGUGUUUGAAUAUAGAAUAUUGCUUAUGUUCAUUUAUUCUAAGUUUUUUGCAAAAGCAGCCUGGAUUUCUCCUGCGGCUCCAAAGGUUUUUAAAGGUACCUUAGGUCUUUUUUUAAAAUACAUUUUGCUGCAGAUUGCUAGAAAGUUAUUUCUAGGCACACUCUAUAGGGACAAGAAAAAAGUGAAACUUCAUAGAGUAUUUGAUGCUUCUGCUAAGACCAUAAUGAUAUGUAGACAUUUUCCAAGGAGGGUAAGGGUCUUCUAAGAAGAGAAAACAUAAACAAAGGGAUAAAACCCUGGAACUUGGAGUUAUCAAUUUGUAGAUUGAUAGCAUUGCGUCAUAGGUAGCAUUAGUAGCUUUCUAUGUAUUAUGCUGUAAAGCAAAAAGAGAUAGAAGAUAGAGGGCCGUAUGUGCCACACUGGACAAUUUAUGCUUUAUCCUAAGGAACAAUGGAGGUGUUACUCACAGAAGUAACAUCGCCAAGUUUAAAUAGUAUAAUUAACACAAAGCACUUGACAAGAAGGACUGUAUGGAAAGGUAAAGAUCGGAGGUUAGAGAUUUCAACACAAGAGCUCCCAUCUUGGCUCAGUGGAAACAAAUCUGAAUAAUAUCCAUGAGGAUGCAGGUUCUAUCUCUGGCCUUGUUCAAUGGGUCAAGGAUCCAGUGUUGCCAUGAGCUGUGGUGUAGGUCACAGACUGGUUUGGAUCUGGUGUUGCUGUGGCUGUGGUAUAGGCCAGCGGCUAGAGCUCCAAUUCGACCCCUGGCCUGGGAACUUCCAUAUGCUGUGGGUGUGGUCCUAAAAAG